ensembl:lncRNA
CUUGAAUGCCUCCAGGGAUGGGGCAUCCACAACCUCCUUGGGCAACCUGUUCCAGUGCGUCACCACCCUCUGUGUGAAAAACUUCUUCCUAACAUCUAACCUAAACCUCCCCUGUCCCAGUUUAAAACUAUUCCCCCUUGUCCUAUCACUGUCCACCCUUGUAAACAGCUGUUCCCCCUUCCUGUUUAUACACUCCCUUCAAGUACUGGAAAGCCACAGUACGGUCUCCCCGGAGCCUUCUCUUCUCCAAGCUAAACGAGCCCAGUUCCCUCAACCUUUCCUCAUAGGAGAGGUGCUCCAGCCCUCUGAUCAUCUUAGUUAUUGCAUUCUUUGCAAUCACUUGCAGCCUGGGACUGCUUUCUGGCUCUGAAUUAUUAGAUACCCUUUACUACUUUUUUCUUGUUGUGACAUCUUCCUGCCAUACAAUUCAUAUGACAACUGCCAUUUAGUGUGUAUAUAUAGGGAAGGGUUGUUUAUUUUAGUACCAAUUGUCACACCUGUUAUAAACAUACUACUGCUACAUAUUCCAGUUGCCAAAUAUAUAAUAACAACUGCAGUACUCUUUAAAACUGACUUAAGACUGAGAUGGAAAGUGGCUGCAGUGUACUUGCUUUCAGUGAUGUCUGGGCUGGAGUUAUUUGGAGCUGCAGUGGUUGAUUACUGUUUGCGAGGAGGGUAAGAAUAUUAAAAGUUAAUGGCCAGCCUUGGAAUAACAGAUAUCUGAUACUGUUGGGCUUUCCUAGUGGUGAAGAAAGAUAAUUUGGGUACAGGAACGGGAGUCGGUUUGUAUUAGAUUUAACUUACAAGAAAAUGCUACGAUGAAAAUCUCCUUUUUAUUUGGUUUGAUGUAUUUCUGCAGUUCUUAAAAUAAUUGUGGCAAAUGGAGCGAUGUUUGAAGUGUAUAAAAAUGGAAAGCUUUCAUUCCAUCUCUGAGAAGCGUGCCAAGUGAUGAAAAUUAAGGUAAAAAGGAAUUUGUGGAAGAAAUGAAGAGCAUAGACUUCUCUGGAAUGUGAGAGGAUCACCUGGACUGGAGAGAAGUGGAGGACUGGGCAGAAGAGGAGGAAAUAUGGAUGUUUGUUAGGGAAAACUGAACAGUGAGAACAUGCAAGCUGGGUGAAGGGAUAGGCUCAAGAGUGGUGUGAUCCAUGGCGUGAAGGCCACCCAGAGGCAGGCGUGUUGGUGUUCCUGCAAUAUUCAGGAAUUUCCUUCUGGGGCUGCAUUUGGCUUGAGGACUACAGCUGCUGCACACAGCAAACCAGGGUGACCAGCAGAUGUCAGCUCUUUGGUUCGGUGCAGGUUUUUUUUAAUAUACUGGUAUUUUGAAACACUCCGCUUUUAAAGCUCUGUGUUAAUGUUCAUAGGGAUAUUAAUGAUUUUGAAAGCUUUAUGAAAGAUGAGUGCAUCUGUGUCCUGCUUAACUAUCAGAUGCAGAAAACCACAGCCCACAGUGACUGGUCCAGAAACAGAAGGGGUGAGAAGGUAACCAGAUGUCUGGUACAUGAAUUUGCUUUGGCUUUGUUUUAAUAG